rnacentral:rRNA from 1 species
UACGAGGGGGGCAAAUGUUGUUCGGAAUCACUGGGCGUAAAGGGAGCGUAGGUGGGAGUUUAAGUUGGGUGUUUAAUCCCGGGGCCUAACCCCGGAUCGGCACCCAAAACUGGGCUUCUUGAAUGGGACAGAGGCUAAUGGAAUUGGAGGUGUAGCGGUGGAAUGCGUAGAGAUCUCCAAGAACACCAGUUGCGAAGGCGGUUAGCUGGGUCCACAUUGACACUGAGGCUCGAAAGCGUGGGGAGCAAACAGG